rnacentral:tRNA from 1 species
GGAGAAGUCGCAUAGUGGUCGAGUGCAGCGGUUUACUAAACCGCCAUACCGCAAGGUAUCGUGGGUUCGAAUCCCACCUUCUCCGCCA